rnacentral:lncRNA from 1 species
AAAAAUUAUCUGAGACUGGAUAAAGUAGUAUAAAAAAGAAAUUAAUCCUAAAAGAGAUCUCAGCUGAGAAUCGAUUGCUAUCCAGAAUAAUAGAAUAACUUUUUUAUCAAAAUUAAUUUUACAAAUCUUGAGGUAUACUUAAUGCUCCUAUAGGAAGUAGAAAAUCAAUGACAAAAUAAAUAUUUAUCGUAGUUUUAUAUGAUGAUAGAUAUAUAUAUUAUGAAAAAAAAAAAUGAUAAAAUGGAAUUUUUGAAAAUAGAGUUUUUAAAGUGGAAAAUUGGAUCAAAUAUCAAGCUCAAAAAGAUAACAUAAGUACAUGAUGAAAUAUUCGCUCUAUCGAAAUAUUGAACAUAUCGAUGAUAUUCAAAUUGAAACAUUUGUUUCAAUUGUAAUCAAACGUAAUCUGUUUCACAUAUAAUCUAUUGAUCUUAAGGUAAAUUGAUUUUAAUGAAAAAAGAAAAAAAAUGAUUGAAUUUAUUUUGAAAAUAUGUUAGAAUCGGAAAACAUGAUCGGUCAUACAAAUCUUGUUUAUAUUUCCAAUCAAAUCUCAAGAAUCGCAAUAUUAUCGAUGAUCAAACUUGGCAUAAUGAAAUGAUAUCGAAAAAUGCGAGCGUGGAAAGAAUCUGUAUCAUUGCAAAUCAUUGGGAGAUAUCAUAUUUAUAUAUAAUUAUAAUCCAAAUCAAAAAAUAAUACCAAUCACUUUGAGAGAUUAUAUGAAAAAAAAAAAAGAAUUGAUGGAUAAAAAUUAAAAAUCAAUUAUCUAUGAAAGUGGGAUAAAAUUCGAUAAUGAUUAUUACAGUGUUUAUGAUUAUUUAGCCUAAUUUAUUGAAGUUUCAGAGAUUUGAGAAUAUAUGAACCAAAUAGUGAGAGAAGUAAAAAUCAAGAGAAACAAAAUUAAAAAAUAAAGAUUUUUUAUCUUUCAAUUUUUAUUACUUUUAUAUAAAAUUGCAAUAACAAUUUCAUAUCACAUAUUUUGAGUUUAGAUUUAAUGCUCAUUCAUUUAAUUUCAAAAAGAAAGCAAUUAUAAAUAAUACUUUUAAUUUCGGAUGAUUAUGAAAUUGAUUAUUUUAAAAUUAUAAUUUAUACUAACUAUAAUUUAAAACUAUAAUCUUACAAUAGAAUAUUACAGAAGAAAUCGAAGGCCGAAUAUUUGAAACAUCGUAGGCCAGAAAACAUUUGGAAGUGCUAUUCUAUAGAAAAAGUCGAAGGAUCAAAUAGCAAAAUAACUCUUUAGCCUUAUCACUAUUACUGUGAUGCCAUCAUCUUAUCAAUUUAUUAUUUCAAUAAUUCCAGAUAUUUUGCCUAGCAUUAGAAAAAAUUCGAUUACUCAGUAUUAUCAAAAGAAAAAGGAAGAAUCAUCAAAAAUGCUGGUAAUUGGCUGCGUAAACAAGUAGAUGCUAUCAAUACGAUGACAUAAAUAUUAAUAAAUUUUCAAUAGAAUUAAUUGGAUAAAGAUGAUGAAUAAGCAAUUUCUGAGUUCUAAUUUAGCUUCGUAUUCAUAAUGCUAUGGCUCAAAGGAUCAUUUGAGAGCGGAUUGAGCAAUCUAAAAUGGACAUGAUUCGGAGAAAUCACGGAAAAAUUUCGAGACUAUGUCAAUGUUAAUAGCAAGAUGGUCGCAGAAUAUAUUUUCUUCUUUGGACAAAAUUAAUACUAUCUAGAUUUAAGUUCAUAUAGAAAAAUUAAUCAUAGGAAAAAUAUUUAUUGUUUGUGAUUUUACAAUUUUGAAAAAGAUAAUAAAGUAUAAUUUUCGAAGAUAAAGUUUAAUAUGAAAAAUUGAUUCAAAAAAUAUCAAGGACGAAGAGAUAUUUAUAUGUAUCAUUAAUGAAAUAUUCGCUACGAUAUCAGUCAAAAUAUCGAACAUAUUUUUCGAUAGCAAAGCACUCAAAUUGAAGCAUGAUGAACGAUCUAUUUCAUAUGUUAUCUAUUAAUUCUGAGCCAUUGAUUUUGAUGAAAAAGAUGAAAUGGAUGGAGAUUGAAGAAGUUAUUUUGAAACAACAUCUUGGAACUGGAAAAAGCGAUUCAAUGAUACAGAUAUAUGUCCGUCAAUUAAAAAUCAAUUCACAGAUGAUGAUCGAGCAUAAUAGUGAUAGCAGUAUCGGAAAAGAAACUAUAUCAUUGUAAAACAUUAAUAUGAUGAAUGAUAUGACAAAAAGCGGAUAUCAUUAAUUUGGAAAGAUUGUGUGAAGGAAAGAUUUAAGUACUUUACAAUACUGGAAUUAGUCGUUUAAGAAAGCGAGGUAAUAUUUGAUUACUGAAUUAGAGAAUGAUUUUAUCAGAUUAUGAUAAAAGUUAGUUAUACUCUAAAGUUAGAUUUUAGAGAGAUUGAUUUUCGAAAAAAUCUCGACAUGGAUUAGCUGAAAUUAGCGAGAGGGAGAAGCAAAAAUUAAGGAAACGAAUAUAUAUAUAAUUAUUGUCAAUAUAGGCGCAAUCAAUCGCAGCAAUUAAUCACUUUAAUAUCAUAGAAAAUUUUUAUACCAAAAUUUAUUUGCCAGAAAGAUAGCAUGAAAAAAAAAGUACAAAUUGGAUUCUAUCUAAGUUACAACACAUACAUAUUUCAAAAUAACUGUUAUUUCUACUGAUUUUUCUACUCAUUAUUGUCUAACAUCAAAUCAGAAAAUGAUUUUACAAGAAAGGCGAAAUAAUAAUGUCAGAGAAAAUAAGCCAGAGUUACCUUCAAUUCAAGAAAAUAAAAAUUCAAGAGAAAAAAACGAAUUGCAA